AUGAUAGAUGUAAUCUACUCCUCCAUUAGGAUGAUAGAUGUAAUCUACUCCUCUGUUAGGAUGAUAGAUGUAAUCUACAGGAUGAUAGAUGUAAUCUACAGGAUGAUAGAUGUAAUCUACAGGAUGAUAGAUGUAAUCUACAGGAUGAUAGAUGUAAUCUACAGGAUGAUAGAUGUAAUCUACAGGAUGAUAGAUGUAAUCUACAGGAUGAUAGAUGUAAUCUACAGGAUGAUAGAUGUAAUCUACAGGAUGAUAGAUGUAAUCUACACCUCCAUUAGGAUGAUAGAUGUAAUCUACUCCUCCGUUAGGAUGAUAGAUGUAAUCUACUCCUCCGUUAGGAUGAUAGAUGUAAUCUACUCCUCUGUUAGGAUGAUAGAUGUAAUCUACAGGAUGAUAGAUGUAAUCUACAGGAUGAUAGAUGUAAUCUACAGGAUGAUAGAUGUAAUCUACAGGAUGAUAGAUGUAAUCUACAGGAUGAUAGAUGUAAUCUACAGGAUGAUAGAUGUAAUCUACUCCUCCAUUAGGAUGAUAGAUGUAAUCUACAGGAUGACAGAUGUAAUCUACUCCUCCAUUAGGAUGACAGAUGUAAUCCACUCCUCCGUUAGGAUGAUAGAUGUAAUCUACACCUCCAUUAGGAUGAUAGAUGUAAUCUACUCCUCCAUUAGGAUGAUAGAUGUAAUCUACUCCUCCAUUAGGAUGAUAGAUGUAAUCUACUCCUCCAUUAGGAUGAUAGAUGUAAUCUACUCCUCCAUUAGGAUGACAGAUGUAAUCUACUCCUCCAUUAGGAUGAUAGAUGUAAUCUACACCUCCAUUAGGAUGAUAGAUGUAAUCUACAGGAUGAUAGAUGUAAUCUACAGGAUGAUAGAUGUAAUCUACAGGAUGAUAGAUGUAAUCUACUCCUCCAUUAGGAUGAUAGAUGUAAUCUACUCCUCCAUUAGGAUGAUAGAUGUAAUCUACAGGAUGACAGAUGUAAUCUACUCCUCUGUUAGGAUGAUAGAUGUAAUCUACAGGAUGAUAGAUGUAAUCUACUCCUCCAUUAGGAUGAUAGAUGUAAUCUACUCCUCCGUUAGGAUGAUAGAUGAUAGAUGUAAUCUACUCCUCCAUUAG
rnacentral:lncRNA from 1 species